CUCGUAGUUGGACCUGUGUUCCACGCUGUCGGUUCGCCGCCCGUCGGUGUUAACUGGCAUGUCCUGUGGAACGUCCUGCCGGUGGCGGUCCGGGCGUUCGGCUUGCGUAAAGGCUUCGGCCCGAAGCGGGUCGAGCAGUUCCGGCCGCCGGUCCAAUCCCGCCACGGUGCUCUUCACCGAGUGUCGAGGUGGGCCGGCACGUUUACUUUGAACAAAUUAGAGUGCUUAAAGCAGGCUGGUGUCCGCCUGAAUACUGUGUGCAUGGAAUAAUGGAAUAGGACCUCGGUUCUAUUUUGUUGGUUUUCGGAACCCGAGGUAAUGAUUAAUAGGGACAGGCGGGGGCAUUCGUAUUGCGACGUUAGAGGUGAAAUUCUUGGAUCGUCGCAAGACGAACCUAAGCGAAAGCAUUUGCCAAGUAUGUUCUCGUUAAUCAAGAACGAAAGUUAGAGGUUCGAAGGCGAUCAGAUACCGCCCUAGUUCUAACCAUAAACGAUGCCAGCCAGCGAUCCGCCGAAGUUCCUCCGAUGACUCGGCGGGCAGCUUCCGGGAAACCAAAGCUUUUGGGUUCCGGGGGAAGUAUGGUUGCAAAGCUGAAACUUAAAGGAAUUGACGGAAGGGCACCACCAGGAGUGGAGCCUGCGGCUUAAUUUGACUCAACACGGGAAACCUCACCAGGCCCGGACACCGGAAGGAUUGACAGAUUGAGAGCUCUUUCUUGAUUCGGUGGGUGGUGGUGCAUGGCCGUUCUUAGUUGGUGGAGCGAUUUGUCUGGUUAAUUCCGAUAACGAACGAGACUCUAGCCUGCUAACUAGGCGAUUUCCGGUACCCACAAUAGUGUUACCGGCGAUUCAAUUUCUUCUUAGAGGGACAGGCGGCUCCUAGCCGCACGAGACUGAGCAAUAACAGGUCUGUGAUGCCCUUAGAUGUCCUGGGCCGCACGCGCGCUACACUGAAGGAAUCAGCGUGUCUUCCCUGGCCGACAGGCCCGGGUAACCCGUUGAACCUCCUUCGUGCUAGGGAUUGGGGCUUGCAAUUGUUCCCCAUGAACGAGGAAUUCCCAGUAAGCGCGAGUCAUAAGCUCGCGUUGAUUACGUCCCUGCCCUUUGUACACACCGCCCGUCGCUACUACCGAUUGAAUGAUUUAGUGAGGUCUUCGGACUGGUGCGCGGCGAUCGGUUCUGCCGGUCGCCGAUGUUGCCGGAAAGAUGACCAAACUUGAUCAUUUAGAGGAAGUAAAAGUCGUAACAAGGUUUCC
rnacentral:rRNA from 1 species